rnacentral:rRNA from 1 species
UACGUAGGCAGCGAGCGUUGUUCGGAAUUACUGGGCGUAAAGAGUGUGUAGGCGGUGCUCCCAGUCUGUUGUGAAAUCUCCCGGCUUAACUGGGAGGGUGCAGCGGAAACUAGAGUGCUAGAGGGUGGGAGAGGUAAGCGGAAUUCCUGGUGUAGCGGUGAAAUGCGUAGAUAUCGAGAGGAACACCUGCGGCGAAGGCGGGUUGCUGGGCUGAUACUGACGCUGAGGCGCGAAAGCCAGGGGAGCGAACGGG